UACGUAGGGAGUGAGCGUUAUCCGGAUUUAUUGGGUGUAAAGGGUGCGUAGACGGGUUUGCAAGUUGGUUGUGAAAUCCCUCGGCUUAACUGAGGAACUACAACCAAAACUGUAGGUCUUGAGUGCAGGAGAGGUAAGUGGAAUUCCUAGUGUAGCGGUGAAAUGCGUAGAUAUUAGGAGGAACACCAGUGGCGAAGGCGACUUACUGGACUGUAACUGACGUUGAAGCACGAAAGUGUGGGGAGCAAAC
rnacentral:rRNA from 1 species